GACGAACGCUGGCGGUGUGCUUAACACAUGCAAGUCGAACGGUAAGGCCCUUUCGGGGGUACACGAGUGGCGAACGGGUGGGUAACACGUGAGUAACCUGCCCUCAUCUCUGGGAUAACAGUCGGAAACGGUUGCUAAUACUGGAUAUGAGCUUGCAAGGCAUCUUGUGGGUUGGAAAGAUUUUUUUUGGUUGGGGAUGGACUCGCGGCCUAUCAGCUUGUUGGUGAGGUAGUGGCUCACCAAGGCUUCGACGGGUAGCCGGCCUGAGAGGGCGACCGGCCACAUUGGGACUGAGAUACGGCCCAAACUCCUACGGGAGGCAGCAGUGGGGAAUAUUGCACAAUGGACGGAAGUCUGAUGCAGCAACGCCGCGUGCGGGAUGACGACCUUCGGGUUGUAAACCGCUGUCAAUUGUGACGAAGCUUUUUUGUGACGGUAGCAGUAGAAGAAGCACCGGCUAACUACGUG
rnacentral:rRNA from 1 species